rnacentral:rRNA from 1 species
AGCAGCCGCGGUAAUUCCAGCUCCAAUAGCGUAUAUUAAAGUUGUUGCAGUUAAAAGCUCGUAGUUGAAUUUCGGGAUCAAAUUGUUGGUCGUGCUUCGGUACGCACUGGCAUUAUUGGUUCCUACCUUCUGAAGAACCGCGAUGUCAUUAAUUUGGUGUCGUGGGGAAUCAGGACUGUUACUUUGAAAAAUUAGAGUGUUUAAAGUAGGCGUACGCUUGAAUACAUUAGCAUGGAAUAAUGAAAUAGGACGUUUGAUUCUAUUUUGUUGGUUUCUAGGAUCGACGUAAUGAUUAAUAGGGAUAGUUGGGGGCAUUAGUAUUCAAUUGUCAGAGGUGAAAUUCUUGGAUUUAUUGAAGACUAACUACUGCGAAAGCAUUUGCCAAGGAUGUUUUCAUUAAUCAAGAACGAAAGUUAGGGGAUCGAAGACGAUCAGAUACCGUCGUAGUCUUAACCAUAAACUAUGCCGACUAGGGAUCGGAUGAUGUUAAUUUUUAAUGACUCAUUCGGCGCCUUACGGG